rnacentral:lncRNA from 1 species
UGAUUUGGAGUUUUUAUGAAGGAUUUAUUGGUGCUCAAAGUUAAGAUAUCAAUUUCAUACCUAUUGCCACUCUUUGCAGCAUAACAUACAUUUACAAAGAGCAACAAAGGAUCGGCGAUUGAAAUUGGGGAGAAAUUUUUUUUGACUAUACUUUUUAUAUUUUUUUUUGAUGAAUUUGGAAUUUAGAUGAAGAAUUUAUAGAAAGUUGAAGUCAAUGCAUCCAAAUCAAAGGCAAUAAGUAAGUGAUUUUGUUCAUAGUAAUGGUUGGAGCCAUAUCUUGAGUUUCUAGACGAAUUUUUGGCUAAAACCUUUUGUA